ACGAGGCCCCCUCCAGCCCUAGGGUCCUGCUCGCUUCCAGGCUGCCUCUGGCGGUGCCGGACAGACUGCCGUGGGAUAAGCUGUCACACAGACGUUUAUCUUCGCUCCUGUGCUUCUGCUCUCCAUCCCUGCGUGUUAUCUAUCUUGGUUAAGUGCUCACACAGUGUGCCCCUCAAUGCAACUGUGUUGACCCUGUAAGAACAGGUGGAACCUGUAAGAGAUGACCGCUCAUAAGGACUCUGCCUCCUGAAUGGAUUGUUACUCAUAUGGAAGCGGGAUCUCUCUCACAAGAAGAAGGCUACCACCCCAGCUGCGAGCCUUCUCACUCGAGGUUCAUGUUGAAGCCAGCAGUGUCCUUGGAUCCUAGUUCAAAGACAAAGAGAGUGAACCAGGGAGCAGGGAGCCAUUGGUGGAGGGGCUGGCCUGAAGGAAGUGAAGUGUUUCAGCCAGAAUGUACUGACGCACAACCGGGAAACCACAAGCCUGGAGAUGCUGAGCUGCCUGCAAGUCAGUGACAGAUUCAUAGCACGAAUAAAAGUGUUGUCAUUUUAUGAAACCCAGGAUACCUCUCGAUUUAAAAGCUUGUUGCCGUUUUGGAAAUAUGUCACAUAUCCUGAAAAUUCAGUGUGAAUUUAAUCAUCAUAGGUGGGACCAUCAAGGACCAGUCAUAAAUGGUUAAAACUAAUGCAGAAGUAUGAAGUAAGACUGCUACCUUGCACCUUACACAAAAUCCAUUAAAUCUAUGUCCAGACAUGAUCAAAUUAUUAGAGAACAUUGGGGAAACCCUGAAAGGCAUUGGUACAGGAAAAGAGUUCCUGGAAAAGAUCCCAGAGGCACAGGCAGUCAAAGCCAAAAUUAAAUGAGAUUACAUCAAAUUGAGAAGCUUCUGUACUGCAAAAGAAACACUCAGCAAAGUAAAAAGGCAAUUGGCAGAAUGGGUGUAAUUAUUUAUAAACUAUAUAUCUGAUAAAGGAUUAAUAACCAGAAUAUAUGAAGAGAUCAAGAAACUCUACAACAACAAAUGAACAACCCAGUGAAGAAAUGGGCAAAGGACUUAAACAUACAUUUUUCAAAAGAGGAAAUCCAAAUGUCCAACAGACAUAUGAAAAAAUAUUCAGGAUCACAAGCCAUAAGGGAAAUGUAAAUCAAAACCACCAUGAGGUUUCACCUCAUGCCAGUUAUAAUGGCUUUCAUGCAGAAAUCAACAAAAAACAAAUGUUGGUGAGGAUGUGGAGAAAACAUACCCUAAUCCACUGUUGCUAGGAAUGUAAACUUGUAAAGCUACUAUGGAAGACAGUAUGGAGAUGCCUCAGAAAUCUCAAUAUAGACCUACCAUAUAACCCAGCCAUCCCACUCCUGGGAAUUUACCCAAGGGAAAUGAAAUCAGAUAUGAAAGGAUGAUCUGUACCCCCAUGUUAAGAAAUUAUGGGAUAUGUACACCAUGGAAUACUACAAAGUGGUUAAAAAAACAUGAAAUCUGGUCAUUUGCAACAAAAUGGGUGAAUCUGGAAAACAUCAUACUUAGUGAAAUAAACCAGUUCCAAAGAGACAAAUAUCAUAUGUUUUCCCUGACCUGUGAUUACUAAUAAAGCAUGUAAAAGGCAAUCCAUAGAAGUGAAAUUGACACUUUGAGAAACAAUGACUUUGAAUAGCUCUUGUAUUGACUGUUGAGGAACAGUUUUUAAUUUUUUUCAUACCAUUUGAUGAAUUCUUUACUUAACUUAGAGUUAACCAUAUGUGUAUAAAGUUAAUUGAAAACAGAUCUUAGUAAAACAUAAGAGUGGUAAUAAGAGGUAGGAGGAGGAGGGGUGGGAGUGUGGGUGAGAGGGCAGGCACAGUUGGAAGAAUCACCUUGUUCCUAAAGCUGUAAUUAUGAAGUGUAUGAAGUUUGUAACUAUAAAGAUUUCUAGUUCUGCAUACAUUCUUACAGACUUACUCCUAAGUGUACAGUUUAAAAACUUGUCAUGGGACCCCUAAUCCCUGUAAGCUGGGUGGUAAAAAUAGCACCUUAAGUGUUAAAGUGAUCAUAUGGAUAGGAUUAAGUGUCUGACAAUAACAAUAGAUAGAAUUAAAAAGGAGUGAAUGCUCCAACAUGGAAGCAGGCCAUACAGCAGACUCAUAGUAUGACAAUAGCUUUAAGUAGCACUCUGACCUCAGAAUCAGCCCUUCAGGCAUUCUGGUCUGGCUGAAUAGCUCAUGAGAGCAUCUCCGGCAUGGAAAGCCAAGACACUGUGGCAAAAAUUUUCCUACAUGAAGGACCUUUGUGGGUGAGACCCCAGUGGAAAGAAGUAGUCAUUUAAGAAAGGUGUAUUCUUCUCUGCAGCGAGGAGAGAACUUCUACUUCACUUAUGGCCCUAUCUAAAUACUGACAGAAUUUGUCAAUUCAAAAGCCUUCCAUAGCCUAGGCAGCUCAUGUCAAGAGUCUCAGGUAAUCCCUGACAUCAUACACAAAGGUGUUAAUUGUUAAAUUAACAAUAGAAAUCACUGUGCACUAACUUCCCAUGAAGGACCUCUGUUCUCAACAGUUGUAUUAUGAGUGUUUAUUGUAAAAAAACUUGUUCUCAAAAAUUGAUUUGGUUUUAGUAUAUAAAGUGGAGGAUAUUCUUAUGUCUCGUAAGUUUUAGUUAUACUUAAGUGUCCAACUCCAUUGCUUGUUUUCUUAGGUGCUUCUUUAAUGAUAAAACUUGUUCUUAAGGACUUUCUUUUAAUGUAUUAAGUGGAGAAUGUUCUUGUGUCUCAUAAGUUAUAGUUAUGUCUAAUUUCUCACAAAAAUUGAAUCGUUCUUGGUUGCUUCUUUAAAGUUAAUUAAGUUUCUAAAAAAAGAAUUGAAAUUAACUUUUAGAUGUAAUGACUUUAAACAGCCCUUGUCUCAACUGUUGAGGAACAGUUUGUGUGUGUGUGUAUGUGUGUGUGUAUGCAAAUUGUUGAACUGGCCCGGUGCUGUGGCUCAAUAGGUUAAUCCUCCACCUGCGGUGCCAGCACCCCAGUUCUAGUCCCAGUCGGGGCACUGGAUUCUGUCCCAGUUGCUCCUCUUCCAUUCCAACUCUCUGCUAUGGCCCCGGAGUGCAGUGGAGGAUGGCCCAAGCGCUUGGGCCCUGCACCCGCAAGGGAGACCAGGAGAAACACCUGGUUCCUGGCUACAGAUCAGUGUGGUGUGCUGGCCACAGCGCGCCGGCCGCAGUGGCCAUUGAGGGGUACUCUGCCUGUCAAAAAAAAAAGUAAAAAAAAAUUGUUGAACUGUUUUCUUAGUAUAGAGUUGGUUUUCUGUGUUAAUUGAAAAUGGAUCUCAGUGGAGAAUGGGACUAGGAAUUGGAAAGGGAGGAAGAGGUGUAAUGGCAGUGGGGGUGGAAGUGUGGGUAUGGUGGGAAGAAUCACUAUAUUCCUAAAGUUUUACUUAUGAAAUGCAUGCAGUUUGUAUUCAUUAAAUAAAAGUUUUUUUUUUUGGAAAAAAGUAUUUAUCUAUUAAAAAAGAGUAUUAUAUCUAUAAAGAGAUACCAUUAAGAGGUUGAAAAGAAAAGCCACAGAAGAAACAGAUAUUAACAAAACAUAAACCCGUUAAAAGACUCAGGUGCAGGAUAAAGACCCCCUACCAAUCAAUAAGCAAAAGACUUGACAAUAUAAUUAUAAUGGACAAUAUGUUUGAACAGUCACAUCACACAAAAAGUGAUUCAAAAGCCAAUGAAGUUUUCAAAAGUUGCUCAAACUCAUUAGUUCUUCAGGAAAUUACACAUAAAGCUCCAAUGUGAACCUACUACACAGUCACCAGAAUAUGUUGGCAAGGCCAUAGAACAAAUGGAACUCUCAUACAGGGCUAGUCAGAAUGUACAUUAGUACAAAAAAAUAAGAAAACUCUUUGAAGAUGAAUGUAUUUUCAUGGCUUAGCAAUUCUUCUCUUAGGUGUAUACCAAUAGAAGGACAUACAAUUGAUUACCAGAAGGCCAGUAAAAGGAUGUUUACAGAAGCUGGUGUUGUGGCAUAGCAUGUUAAGCUGCCAUCUGCAGUGCCGGCAUCCCAUAUGGGCACCAGUUCCAGCCUCAUCUGCUCCAAUUCCCAUGCAGGUCCCUGCUAAUACACCUGGGAAAGCAGUGGGAGAUAGCCCAAGUCCUUGGGCCCCUGAACCCAUGUGGGAGACCUGGAAGAAGUUCCUGGCUCCUAGCUUCAUCCUGGCCUAGCCCUAGCUAUUGUGCCAUCUGGCGAGUGAACCAGCAGAUGGAAGAUUUUCUCUCUCUCUCUCUCUCUCUCUCUCUCUCUCUCUCUUCCCCUUUCUCUCUCUCAGUCUUUCCCUCUCUCUUUCUGUAAUUCUGACAUAUAAAUAAAUAAGUAAAUAAAUACUAAAAAAUAACAGUAUAAAAGUUCCCCUCUUGUAAUCUCCUUGAAAAAAAAAAAAGAAAAAAGUAUGUU